rnacentral:rRNA from 1 species
CAGCCGCCACGGUAAUACGAAGGGUGCAAGCGUUAAUCGGAAUUACUGGGCGUAAAGCGUGCGUAGGCGGUGAGUUAAGUCUGCUGUGAAAUCCCCGGGCUCAACCUGGGAAUGGCAGUGGAUACUGGCUCGCUAGAGUGUGUCAGAGGAUGGUGGAAUUCCCGGUGUAGCGGUGAAAUGCGUAGAGAUCGGGAGGAACAUCAGUGGCGAAGGCGGCCAUCUGGGACAACACUGACGCUGAGGCACGAAAGCGUGGGGAGCAAACAGGAUUAGAGACCCCCGUAGUCCCUGUCUCUUAUAC